rnacentral:rRNA from 1 species
UACGGAGGGUGCAAGCGUUAUCCGGAUUCACUGGGUUUAAAGGGUGCGUAGGUGGGCAGUUAAGUCAGUGGUGAAAUCUCCGGGCUCAACCCGGAAACUGCCAUUGAUACUAUCUAUCUUGAAUAUCGUGGAGGUAAGCGGAAUAUGUCAUGUAGCGGUGUAAUGCUUAGAUAUGACAUAGAACACCAAUUGCGAAGGCAGCUUACUACCCGAAUAUUGACACUGAGGCACGAAGGCCAGGGGAGCAAACGGG